rnacentral:rRNA from 1 species
UACGGGGGGGGGUAAGCGUUGUUCGGAAUUACUGGGCGUAAAGGGCUCGUAGGCGGCCAACUAAGUCAGACGUGAAAUCCCUCGGCUUAACCGGGGAACUGCGUCUGAUACUGGAUGGCUGGAGUUUGGGAGAGGGAUGCGGAAUUCCAGGUGUAGCGGUGAAAUGCGUAGAUAUCUGGAGGAACACCGGUGGCGAAGGCGGCAUCCUGGACCAACACUGACGCUGAGGAGCGAAAGCCAGGGGAGCAAACGGGG